UACGAAGGGGGCUAGCGUUGCUCGGAAUUACUGGGCGUAAAGCGCACGUAGGCGGCUUCUUAAGUCGGUGGUGAAAUCCUGGAGCUCAACUCCAGAACUGCCUUCGAUACUGGGAAGCUCGAGUCCUGGAGAGGUGAGUGGAACUGCGAGUGUAGAGGUGAAAUUCGUAGAUAUUCGCAAGAACACCAGUGGCGAAGGCGGCUCACUGGCCCGGUACUGACGCUGAGGUGCGAAAGCGUGGGGAGCAAACAGG
rnacentral:rRNA from 1 species